AGGAGAGUUUGAUCCUGGCUCAGGACGAACGCUGGCGGCGCGCCUAACACAUGCAAGUCGAACGGGACUAGUGACCGGAGAUUAGAGCUUGUUGUUCUAGUUUGCGAUCACUAGUUCAGUGGCGGACGGGUGAGUAAAGCAUGAGCAACCUGCCUAGUAGAGGGGGAUAGCUUUUGGAAACAGAAGAUAAUACCGCAUGAAUCAGAGAUUUCGCAUGAGAUUUUUGGAAAAGGAGCAAUCCGCUAUUAGAUGGGCUCAUGUCCGAUUAGCUAGUUGGUGAGGUAAAGGCUUACCAAGGCGACGAUCGGUAGCCGUACUGAGAGGUUCAACGGCCACAUUGGGACUGAGACACGGCCCAGACUCCUACGGGAGGCAGCAGUGAGGGAUAUUGCGCAAUGGAGGAAACUCUGACGCAGCGACGCCGCGUGAAGGAAGAAGGUUCUCGGAUUGUAAACUUCUGUCCUCAGGGAAGAAACAAAUGACGGUACCUGGGGAGGAAGCCCCGGCUAACUACGUGCCAGCAGCCGCGGUAAUACGUAGGGGGUAAGCGUUGUCCGGAAUUAUUGGGUGUAAAGGGCGCGUAGGCGGCUUUGCAAGUCAAACGUGAAAUCUGUAAGCUUAACUUACAGUCUGCGUUUGAAACUGCAGGGCUUGAGUGAAGUAGAGGCAAGUGGAAUUUCCAGUGUAGCGGUGAAAUGCGUAAAUAUUGAAAGGAACACCAGUGGCGAAGGCGGCUUGCUGGGCUUUUACUGACGCUGAGGCGCGAAAGCGUGGGUAGCAAACAAGAUUAGAUACCCCUGGUAUUCCCU
rnacentral:rRNA from 1 species